UUGGUAGAAGCCAAACCAGAGGCAUAUCACUGUUAAUGAUAUCAUUGAAAUUUAUUUCCUUCCAAG
rnacentral:tRNA from 1 species